CGCGCAAAUUACCCACUCCCGGCACGGGGAGGUAGUGACGAAAAAUAACGAUACGGGACUCAUCCGAGGCCCCGUAAUCGGAAUGAGUACACUCUAAAUCCUUUAACGAGGAUCAAUUGGAGGGCCAGUCUGGUGCCAGCAGCCGCGGUAAUUCCAGCUCCAAUAGCGUAUAUUAAAGUUGUUGCGGUUAAAAAGCUCGUAGUCGAAUUUGUGUCCCGCGCCGCCGGUUCAUCGCUCGCGGUGUCCAACUGGCGUGUCCGCGGGACGUCCUGCCGGUGAGCUCAGCCCGCAAGGGCGGCUCAACUGUAAAUCCCAUCGCGGUGCUCUUCACUGAGUGUCGAGGUGGGCCGGCACGUUUACUUUGAACAAAUUAGAGUGCUUAAAGCAGGCUAAAACUUUGCCUGAAUACUGUGUGCAUGGAAUAAUGAAAUAGGACCUCGGUUCUAUUUUGUUGGUUUUAAGAACCCCGAGGUAAUGAUUAAUAGGAACGGAUGGGGGCAUUCGUAUUGCGACGUUAGAGGUGAAAUUCUUGGAUCGUCGCAAGACGGACAGAAGCGAAAGCAUUUGCCAAAAACGCUUUCAUUGAUCAAGAACGAAAGUUAGAGGUUCGAAGGCGAUCAGAUACCGCCCUAGUUCUAACCAUAAACGAUGCCAACCAGCGAUCCGUCAACGUUCCUCCGAUGACUUGACGGGCAGCUUCCGGGAAACCAAAGUUUUUGGGUUCCGGGGGAAGUAUGGUUGCAAAGCUGAAACUUAAAGGAAUUGACGGAAGGGCACCACCAGGAGUGGAGCCUGCGGCUUAAUUUGACUCAACACGGGAAACCUCACCAGGCCCAGACACUGGAAGGAUUGACAGAUUGAGAGCUCUUUCUUGAUUCAGUGGGUGGUGGUGCA
rnacentral:rRNA from 1 species